UACAGAGGUCUCAAGCGUUGUUCGGAUUCAUUGGGCGUAAAGGGUGCGUAGGUGGCGCGGUAAGUCGGGUGUGAAAUUUCGGAGCUUAACUCCGAAACUGCAUUCGAUACUGCGGUGCUUGAGGACUGGAGAGGAGACUGGAAUUCAUGGUGUAGCAGUGAAAUGCGUAGAGAUCAUGAGGAAGACCAGUGGCGAAGGCGGGUCUCUGGACAGUUACUGACACUGAGGCACGAAGGCCAGGGGAGCAAACGGGG
rnacentral:rRNA from 1 species